UUCUUAAAGGUUUAUCAGAAGCUGAGAAUUUGACAUUGAUAGAUGAACAUGACACGUUUAUUUUCAGAAGGGAUUUGAAAUGGUGCCCUACAUUUAGUAAGUUAAAGAUUUUGAUACUCAAUGAAUACUGGUGUGUGUCUACUGACUUCCGGGCACUAGCUUGUAUUCUUGAACACUCGCCAGUUCUCGAGAUUCUCACUCUUCAUUUAUUUUCCAAGGGACCAAAACAUAAAGUAGAAAUAAGAGGAUGUUGCAAUGCAGUGGAGAGCUCAUCUGCAAUAUCAGAACACCUUAAGACAGUCGAAGUCAAAUGUAACUUGGUUGAUGUGGAGGUUCUGAAAAUUUUGAAGUUCCUUGGUACACUUAACAUUAGUUUUGAGGAAGAGAACACCUUGGUCGAAGACAGAUGGCCUAUUUCAUCUUAAUUA